GAUGAACGCUGGCGGCGUGCUUAACACAUGCAAGUCGAACGGAAAGGCCCAAGCUUGCUUGGGUACUCGAGUGGCGAACGGGUGAGUAACACGUGGGUGAUCUUCCCUGCACUUCGGGAUAAGCCUGGGAAACUGGGUCUAAUACCGGAUAGGACCACAUUUUGGAUGGUGUGGUGGAAAGUUUUUCGGUGUGGGAUGAGCUCGCGGCCUAUCAGCUUGUUGGUGGGGUACUGGCCUACCAAGGCGUCGACGGGUAGCCGGCCUGAGAGGGUGUACGGCCACAUUGGGCCUGGGAUACGGCCCAGACUCCUACGGGAGGCAGCAGUGGGGAAUAUUGCACAAUGGGCGCAAGCCUGAUGCAGCGACGCCGCGUGGGGGAUGACGGCCUUCGGGUUGUAAACUCCUUUCGCUAGGGACGAAGCGUUUUUGUGACGGUACCUGGAGAAGAAGCACCGGCUAACUACGUG
rnacentral:rRNA from 1 species